rnacentral:lncRNA from 1 species
CUCAGAUCUCAUAGGUGGGUCUGGUGUAAAUUGCAUCCUCAUUAUCUGCCAAUGUUCCAGAAAAACAAGUCUUCCCUAGCCCAUGUGGACCCUCAUAGUGGUGGGUUAAAAGUACCCAAGUACAUUAAUUAGCCAUAUUAAUGAAGUUGCACAGUUGUUCCAGAUAUUUGAAGAUGUCUAUUAAAUGAAACAUGUUAAAACAUACAGAGAGAGAGAGAGAAAUUAUUCAUUUGUUUGUAACAUAAAGCAUCUCUAAUAUAUUGUUUAAGUUACUUACCAGCCACAGUUUAUUGAUGAACUGGUGCAAUGCUCUGCAGUUGAUGAAAAUUGACAUAUGCGAUUUUUAAAAUUUAAAGAGUGUAAAAGUUAUAUUGUUCAAAAUCUAUAUUGCUCAUGUCCUUGUGCUAUUUUGAAUAAUUCAAAGUCCAUUAAUAAAUUGAGCAAGAUUUAUGUAUAUUAAUCGACCUAACAUGUAUUCGCUCAUGAUUCGAAGUGACGAAUAGGGCAUGUAAAAGUGAGCAAUGCUCAUAAUAUAUGGCUAAUUCUGCUUAUGAGCAAGAGUUUACUGAGGAACGGUGGGAUGCUCUGUGGUUGACGACAAUUGACAUGCAAUUCUUAAAAUUUAAGUAGGUACCUGGGGUUAAAAUAGCGUGCUGAUUGUAGAUUCUACCAAAGCUGUUCCAGACAAUAUCUCCAUGUCAAUGAAGCAAAGAGAGCAAACGCAAGCACAAGAAGACAAACAACACGCGACAAAGGGGAGAGCCCGGGCCAAAUAAACAUUAUCCCGUGCACCCUCCCCACAAACAUGAAAUUCAUUAUCUUUUAUUAAUGAUUGGUGACCUGCCAUGCAAGCGCACCUGUCAUGGCAAAGGCCAAGAUGACAAACGAUAAAACAGGACUUGCCCUCUCAAAAUAGGGCCUCCGUCCAAUAUGUCUCUUUACAUCAUCUAUUAAAAAUUUCCUUCAUAUCAAUUUCAAGUAUAAUAGGCUGCAAAUCAGUUUCCCAAUCUGAGUAUUUUUUUCACAAAGGAGUGGCAACCCACAAUCAAUCCGACAUGGAUUAAGAUGUACAGCUUGUCUAUGCAGCUCCGAGCUCCCGAAAUUCCAAUCGAUUGUCCGUCCUGGAAAUUGUUUAAUCAGAAGCAAAUAUCGAUAACAAAAAUCCCCCAGCAAA